rnacentral:rRNA from 1 species
GUGAGUAGUUCAGAGUUUGAUCCUGGCUCAGGAUGAACGCUAGCGGCAGGCUUAACACAUGCAAGUCGAGGGGCAGCAUGAGACAGAGAUUCGUCGAAGUCUUGAUGGCGACCGGCGCAAGGGUGCGUAACGCGUGAGCAACUUGCCCGUUUCAGGGGCAUAACCGGUGGAAACGCCGACUAAUUCCCCAUAGUAUCAUUGAGAGGCAUCUUUCGAUGAUUAAAGAAUUUCGGAAACGGAUAGGCUCGCGUGACAUUAGCUAGAUGGCGGGGUAACGGCCCACCAUGGCGACGAUGUCUAGGGGUUCUGAGAGGAAGGUCCCCCACACUGGAACUGAGACACGGUCCAG